UUUUCAGAAGAAAAUAUUAAUAUUAUAAAUACACGCAUUAAAAAUUCUUUCAAGUAAAUAUUCAUGAAUCCUUUAAAUACUUAUCGAGUUUUUCACGAAUUUGCUUCGCAGCAGUUGAUAACAUUAAUAGAGAAAUCGAUACACGCGCAGUGCUUGUUCUUAUUUUCAUAUCUUCCACUGUUAUAAGAGAGUAGAGAACCAACCAUCGUUUUAAACCCAUAAACUUUAAUGGCUAUAUUACUCCAAGGACAUCAUAUCGAACAUUUAAUAAAAUAAUUUUCCGGAAUUUGAUGUAAGGAUUUCUCCUGAGAAUAAUAUUCUCCGUCCCAACGUUUUAACUGUAUGUAUAAAAUAAAAGCAAAAAAAUGUUUCAGGUAAAUUUCAGUUAAAUAUGAUUGAGAUAAAAUAAAAGAAAAGAAAGUUGCAUCCCUUCUUCCCCUUAUCGAUUCAACGAAGUUUGUCGCGCGUUAAAUUUUCGUCCUUUCUUUCGUUUAAUUAACAAAAAAAAAAAGAAGAAAAGAGAAAAAGAAAAGCAUAGAAACGAUGCGUGCAUUGAUUUUCAACUCGAUCCAUUAUAUCACGAAAGAUAAAUAAAACGAAGGUUCAGCGCAUUGAAAAAGUUUACAGAUUCUCUUUUUUUUAAAUAUACCUUUUUCCUCGCUCACCAAUACCUGUAAACACCGACUAUACGUUUAAUUCGUAUCGUUCGAAUAAUUGCACCCGUUUUCCAGAGUUUCUCCUCUCCGGCGGAGUGAGUUUAUUAUAAAUGCAAUGUAUUUACCUUGGCAAAUUAAAUGUAUCUAGAUGACGACGCGACUUACGGAACAAGUUUGAAAUGAAUCGUCGAGGAGAACCUCCAGAUCGUUCAUAAUUCCUUACCGAUCUUCGCGUAUUUACCUCACGCAGUUGUGUCCAACCCCCGUUCCCUUCCCGUUUCGAAUUUCCAUAACGUUUUCAUAGGGUUUCGAUAAUAAAACGAGGCGAGAAACGAACGAGAAAAAAUAUAUAUAUAUAUAUAUAUAAAAUACGUAUAUGUAACACGGCUCGAUGUAGCUGAUUCGGUUUCUCGAAACAUUUCAUCGAUGAAAGCCACCUCCGCCAAUUUUUCAUUCCCCUCGAUUCAAUUGUAAUUUUUUUUUUCUUUUUUUUUUUUUUCACGUAGACCCGUCGCUGGAAUUUAUUCGUUGGUUCAAAUUUAUCGCGGUAAUUGUAUUGACCGCGAUAACGUUUGUAAUUUUCAUUCGGCCUGAAUACCGAAAAAUAAAAUAUGUCGAAAGGGGUGGAAGCAGAAUAGGGAGAGGAGGGGAGACUGCUUGUGGGUACACGCAUCGAUUUCGAUACGAUUCGACGAUUCUACACGCCCAUGUGAUAUUUUAAGCCUGAAAAUUCCAAGUUGGUUAUUUAUUUUGGAUUAAUCUGUCGUUAUUAUUAUAAUAUUUUAUCAUUUACACGUUCGAUUUUUGGAUCAUGAAUAAUUGAACUGUAUAAAAUCAUUCAUCAGGGUUUUAAUACACUGUAUAUUUUGGUAAACAAUUCAUCGUAUUAUUUUACAAUGAGAAAUUUAUAUAUUUUUCUCGUACGCUAUGCACAUUUCCAAUUAAGAUAAUUUCUAACCAACUAAUCUGCCUCAUUUUCUAUCAUUAUAUUUUCUUUCUCUUAAAAAUAAUUAAACUGAUUUCAGAUCUCUACAAAAUAUUCAUAUAUAACUUUUACUUUCUUCACUUCUCUUCACAUAUAUAAUCUCAAAUAUUGGAAAAAUGUAAAAGAAGUUAAAUAAGAUCUUUUAAUCAAGGAAAUGAAUUGUUAUCGGCGUAGAUAAAAAAAAAAAGAAACUUUGGAAAUCUGUAAGAGAUUAAACGAGACAUCGUAUAUUUCCAACGAAAUUAAUAUAUUCCUCCGGCGAAAAACGCGGUGCGACACGGGUAAUGGAGACCGCGUGGGCGUUUGCAUUGGUUCACUUCUCGUAUAUAGAUCCUAUCUAUUGAGUCCUGUGAAUAGCACGGUUACAUUGUCGUAAAGCGUGAACCGGUCUCUGUCUCUUAACGCGCGCCUAUAUAUCCCCGGCUAUUGAUACCUAUAUCUACCUGCCUAUCCUUCCUCUCACUCUCUCUCUCUCUUUCUUUCACCAUCGUUUUCAUAUACAUCCAUCCUUCGUCCACGGUGUUUCUCGAGCGGCCGAAAAGAGGAGCGGAGGGCGUUAUCCGUGUCCGAGCGGCGAUUUGAACGAAGAAUAUGAGUAUACUGGGGAGGAUAAUAAAACAAGAUUUCUUUUUCCAGCGUGGACACGAUAAUGGAAGACCACGUGGGUGUCUAAACUGGAUCCUUCCUUCCACUGGAAAACGUUCUUUUCGCUCGCGAAAAGAACGAACCGGUCCCUUGUACCUUGCCUAACCGCGUACACUUGUGGAUCUAAGUACUUGAACGGGCGGGGAAGUGCAGCCGCGCUUUUAUUUUUCUCCUUUUUUUUUCUUUCCAUCCACGAACGUGGUAUAUACACGAGCGACUUGGAGAGAAGGUGGAGAGAGAGAGAGAGAGAAAAGUAGAAUGGUAUCAGCCGGGACUGAAAGUGGUUCUAAUUAACUAGCAUCGGGCCUGUAAGCACGUUGAUGGCAGUAUUUUAACGGCGGCAGGUCCUUGAAAGUACCUUGAGGACGGAAAGGGUCAAGUAAGCGUGAAAGAGGACAAUGAACCAACUUCCAACUUUCUAAGGCUUGGACGCGUGCCGGUAGCAGAACAGAAGGAAGAAAAUCAAUUCACACACAAGAAAAUUCUUCGAUUAGACUAUAAAUAAUUUCAAACAAGAGAUUUACACGUGUAAUAUGAAUCUUACGAGAUGAAGUAAGCGUAACAAUUAAUGGUAAAAAAAAAAGAAGAAAGAAAAUAAGAAAGAAUAUAUUAAAUCUAAAUAUCAUAACUCGUCGUUUCACGCUUUGUACUUUCACGACCCUCCCUCUUUUCUUCCGUAACCAAUGGAACGACGACCAAACGAAAACAUCUGCGCGAAGAAGCGUCGCCUGUACACCAUGUGAAAUAUACACGUAUAACGUGUACACUUGCGUGUAUAUUCACGACCGGCCAUCCGUCGCGAAAAUAUCGGAAUCGUUGCACGGGGGAACAAAAUGUAUAUCGCGAAAUAAAGAGAGGGUAGAGUAAGAUGGAAAAGAUGCAUCUUGGAAAGGGAAAGAGGGAAAUGUGGAGAGUACUCUGCUCUCGUAUGAGUAAUAUAUACGUGUAGCUAUUAAUAUGUAUAAGCGUCCAUCGGUCUUUCUCAUGGGUUCGCAAAUGGUCCAGCAACUCGUAUACGCGUUAUCCUUCUAGGAUCGCACACUUGUCCAAUCCCGAGGUGUGCGCCAACACCAACACACACGUGCUACGCGUGGUGGAGAGAGAGGGAGAGGGAGAGAGAGGGAGAAAGAAAGAAAGAGAGUAGAAUAAGUACGCAAUGCAAAGCAACGAAACGGAACAGCAGAUCUUAUAGCUCCGUUACAACCGGCUAGCUGACCGAUCCCAACGAAUACGGCGGGUACCACACCCGCUCGGGCAUUUCGAGCGGAAUGAUCGAGAGAUAAACUCGUUCGCCCGCUGCUUAAUCGUAUACCGGCGUAACGAGUCUCAGGUUUCCGCGGUAUAUACAGCUUUGGCCAUAAACAUAAAUUGAAAUAUUCGAGAACAGCGGCUGCAUCCGAAUAUUUCUCUGUGACGCGGCGUAAUUUAGUUUCUGACCUGGUUGGAACGGCACAAAAGGGGGAAACGUAAUACGAGUGCAGAACGAGCUUUAUACACAACGAGGAUACAAAGGAAAAAUACAAUAUGGAUCUAAAAGUGGUACUUGACGGUUGUAUCGAUGGAGGCCCUUUUAAAUGGAACACAGGUCAGCGCACAUGAAAUACCGGAUUUGUAAUUCAUGUAUACCUCAUUUAUCGACCCUAGUCUUUACGUAAUAUGAAUGAACUGAUUUGAUUAAAUCUCUAAUGUUAUAUUAUUAAUAGGCAGCAGGAAUUCGAUUUGAAAAAAAUUUUAAUUUUGUGAAAAAAAUUUGUGAAAAAAAGUAAUAAUGAAU